GCACAGCGGUGUUGCAAAAAUACUCAGAUGGGACAACAACACGGGCGUUCAGACAGUGGUGGUGCAGGUUACUGUAGAAACAAAUUUCCAGGUAAGCCGAGGCGUCAGAGUUUCCAAACCGGCGUCCUGGUUCAACACUGACCUACUCUACCUGCCAUAACAGCGCAUGGUUCUCCUGUAUGUCAACCGAUUGUUACAAACAUUUCAAGUGCGUUCACCUCCAGUUUUAUGAAGGAGUGAGAUAUGGCGACGUGUUUGCCUGCUUGUUUGCAACCCGUAUGGCUGUCUGACAUUCUGUUGCAGUGAUGUUGACGUGCUCCCAGAACUCAGUAACCCUUGAGUAAAAGUGAAUACAGCUACAAAAAGUACGACCCGAGCUCACCGGAGGAAUCCCAGGGAACCCUGCUUGAAUAUUAACCACAUUAUCGUUUCUUGAUAACUGGGCCGUCUUUGGACCACAUACUGAGGACGGUGCCUCUGAAGACCGGCAGUGCAGAGUUAAAAAGGAUAUAAUGAGGCCGUCACGUACAUAUAUUCAGAGUGCAGCAAGCGCUCCACUCCUCUCUUUGUACAGUACCUGCCGGUCUGAGCAGGAAGCAUCAGUGGCUGAAAAAAGAUAAGUUCACUUCUGACGGUAAAACUGAAACAUUCCCGUAUAUCUCGCUCUCUCUCUUUACCAUCGGCACAAAUCUCUUUCUGUAUCUUGUGUGUCAGCUCAUCUAUCUUUCAUUGUCACACCAGCAAACGUCACCUCAGCGUGAUUCGUAACUGAUAAUGACAUUUUGUUCCUGUAAGCUAAUUCAUGUGAGCAUAUGGCUGAAUUCAAAGCACAUUUCCCUUGUUUUGUUAUUACAACUCGUUUGAUUAGGUUACAAAUCAAUCAUAGAUGGGGAUUAAACAGACGAGGCCAAACAUUUACGUGCAAAGCAGGAACAUGUCAUGAGUGUGUUACUGAUCCGUAGUGCAGUUCCUUCAUGCUGGAUUUGCAGUGCAGAGAGGUGUGCACAUGUGGAGUGCAAUACAGUUUGAAAUUCAGACAGAAUUUGACAAUAGAUUCUCAUUUACACCUCUGAGGUAACCAGCUGAGUGAGGCGAGAGUGUCUCGCUGCAAUUAAAGUUGUGUACUCAGCACGUUUUGGCCUCAGAGUCACAGCAAAGCAGACUUGUGAUCUCCUGCUGCUGCCCCAGUUUCCAGCGAGGAGGUAAGUUUGAUGACAUUUCACUCUCUCUUCAUCUCUCUCCGUCUCUGCGGGGUUUCAGGGAGAAGCUGCCAAGUGAGUCCUGUCGAUCUGUAGGCCGUUUUCUUUUUGUAUACACACAAACACACCAGCGCAACACAAAACAACCCACUAACAAGGCUGCACUGGCCCGCAUCGCCUCCCUGACUCUGUUCACGGUUGAAAAGAACACUCCUGCAUCAUAACUGCAGCUGCCGUGUCGUUUGCUGGUUACUGAUACAUACAUGAGUCAAUGUUGUUGUGUGCGAAAUCACCUAUGUCCAUAUCCAUAUAUUGAUCUUCCAUGUUUUAUGUGCUUGUUUUUCACAUAUUUCAAUCCUCAACACUCCCACAGAAUUCUGCCUGCCAAUAAAGCCAGUAAUGGAAAGCUGCACCAAACCUUCAUUCGAGCAAGAAUUUUGAAUAGUUUUAUUUUCCUCGCGGCUGAGUCGAUGGUACAGUUGAAAUAUUAACUCGUCCACUGUCUGCACUUCCAGUUAAUCCUAUCUACGAAAUCUAUUUACUAAGAACGCAAGAAAGAAUGCGUCCCCUUUCUUCAACAGAUAAUAUAACUAGAUUGAUGAGUUUAAACGCCAGCAAAUCUGUUGUUGAUGUCAUACUUUACGUCUAUUGUCUUGUUAUCUGAAGCUGGAGUCACUCAGCUGAUACUGUAUGCAGAUAUAGAACAAUAACAAAACAGUAGUUCUCUGGAUCUUCUAUUUCCAGGAUGGGAAUAUUGCUAAUCUACCUUGGAUUUAAGGCUCCUACUGGCUAAUGGCUGGUUACUGGAACACACAAUGAACAAACAGGACUCAGGCCAAACAACGAGACAAGAAUGUUGUGCCCAUAUCUUUACAGAGACCUGUCUCCACCACAGCUCAGCGGAUGAUGUCAGAUGGACUCUGUGUUCACGUCAUUGAUGCUUGGCGCUCAAACGCAGAUGAGUGGAUGGACAUUGUUUCUCAGAUGUCCAAAUUUGAAUUUGAUAACGAAUACGCCAAUGAUAUUAUGUUCACCAUCUAGUUAAAAAUGCACUACAUCUUUCUGUACAUAUACGUUUAUAAAUAACUGUAUAUAGGCCUGUAUUUCAUGUUCGUGUAGCGCUAAGGAUUUACAAACUUCCAUUUUGUUGUUCAUUCCUAUAUUGUAUAAUAACAAAUAAAAUCACCUUGUACCUUAAUAUAAAAGUUAUAAUAUUUUGACCUUGUGUACCAGGUUCCCCUAUGUAAAUAUAAUGUAUGCCCAUAAUGAAUAAUGUAUACCACAUUAUAUUCUAACUGUAUUAAACAACUUGAUGGUUUCACAUAACACUG